UAUUGCUUGCCAUUUUCGUCAUAUUUGUGUGUUCUGGAUUUCUAUCUUUUUACAAAAUUGCUAAGAUCAUUCUUUUACAUGAAUCCAGACAGAUAACAGGCAGAAGUGUGAAUUGAAAAAACACACAUUGAAUGGGUAUCAUUCAGGAUGAUCUAAGCAUUAUUGAAUGCUGUGAAAUCUUUAGAUUAUGGCCUGUUUAUCAAUUAAAUUAAUCUAUGUUGAAUGGGUGCUCAAUUCCUGUUUACUGUACAUUUUUAUUGACUGCUUUUUGCACAAUACUGUUUUUUUUUUUUAAGCCAUUAAUGCUCUAUAGCACUUUUCAUACCCUUGUGUUGACUCAGACACUUUAUACGCCAUGAAGUACUUUGAGUGUAGUUACUGUUGUAAUAUGUGACAUAAUUGGUAAUUGGCACACAGUAAGUCCCCACAAACAGCAAUAUGAGAACCAGAUAAUCGUCUGUAGUAAUAUUGUUUACUAAAAAAUACUAGGCAGAUGACUGGGGAUAUUUAUUUUGCUGUUGGAUAAAAUGGUACCACUGGAUGAUUUAAAUCCAUUGCAGAGAGCCGACCAGGCCUAAAAAAACAGCUCCUCCAACAGUGCGGCACUCCUACUGCCAAACACUGAAGUAACAGCCAAGAAUUUUAUGAGGAAAUAUCUGGAGUGAGACUUACUAAUGUGUAGACAUACGCCAAAGCGUACUAACAGACUAGUUAAUCAAAUGCAAGAAAUUUAGUAAAUUGCCACAUUGAAACUACUUGGGCCUUGCAUUGGCAGUUAAUUUAAAAUGGCCAAUCUAUGAAACUGUCAUUUUAAAUAAACGGGGAAAGCAGUAAACAAAUAUUCAGAAAAUACAUACUUCAAGGUUAUACUUUAUUCAUUGUCUUUUAAAUAGUUAAUUAAUCAAUGUUGAGGGUCUAAACACCACCUAAGAGGUGAUUGUGAAUUAUAGUGGCUGUUCAUAGACCAUGCAGUUUUACAUUGUGUAUGUAGUCCACGUAAAUUUUAAAGCCAAAUAAUUAGCAUCUAAGUAAAACAAUUCAAUGCAAUACCCCUCUGUGACCUUGUUCAAUAUCUGAUUGUAUUUCAAGUUUACUUGUAAAACUGAAGAGACAAGUAAAAUUAAUUUCAGAUAAAGUUCACUUUGAGCAUCUCUUUACACAGUGAGACUAUCUGUAUUUGAGAGGCGGGUGAGGUAGGUUGAGCUCUUUAUACAGUGAGGACAUCUUCCUCAUAUUUAAACUUUGAACAUGUUAUGCGCAGGAUAAAAAUCUAUUUAUGACCCUGUGUUGGCCUUGGCAUAUAGUCUUGGCAUUUGAACUGUCUCUGUUGACCCAAGCAUUUGAGCACCUUAUCUAAGGUGACACGGUCUGAAAGAAUGCCGCACUCUUGAAACUAAUGUUCCUUGGAAUUGCCCUAAAUUUAUACUACAUAGUAAUCCCUCAACUAACAGCUAAAGCUGUUGUUUGUUCAUUUAUUCAUUGAUAGAACUAUACUGAUUAGCAACGUCUGAAGAAGGGUCUCGACCCGAAAUGUCACCUAUUCCUUCGCUCCAUAAAUGCUGCCUCAACCGCUGAGUUUCUCCAGCAUUUUUGUCUACCUUCGAUUUUUCCAGCAUCUGCAGUUCUUUCUUAACGUAUUUAACGCAACAAUAGCGAGUACACUUUAAAAGUAUUUAAAUUAUUAUGGAAACUGUUCAGAGCACAGAUUGAGUAGAUUGCAUUCAUCAUUGUUUGGUAGAUGAUCUAAACAUCCCUAUUUUCAUUAAUAAUAGAAAAGUGCUGGAAUUGUGUCCUUAAAAUCUGAUCUGAAACAUUAAUAUUAACAUUUUCUCUGUGUAGACAUGUUCUCUAACCUGCUGAGUGUUUCCAGCAUUUUCUGUGUUUACUUCAGAUUUCCUGCAUCAGCAUGUUUUUUUUGUUUUCACCCUCAAUUGCUUGCUGCAGUGGACAGGUUUCAGCACAUAAAUGUAUUAAUAUAAACUCUUGGACUUAAAUCAGGAGUCAGGUUUAGUCCGAGACGUGCAUUUCCAGGAAUUAAUUGCAAGGAUUUAAACAAAAUAUUUAGAUUGAAAAUUGUGACCAACUACAACAGUUUCCUUGCUACUGCUGCUGCUUCUCUCUCUGCCCCACCUCGGUCCAACAUGCUCACUCUUUGUUAUGAGCAUACUGGGAAGCCAUUAAUUGAGCUAAAUUUCACACUGAAUGUCUGAAACAAUAGGUUCCUCUCCAUAAUGGAGUCAAACCCCAUGUUUAUGUUAUUCCCCAAAUCCUCUCCCAAUGCUAUCAAACCCCAGAAGCUCUUCUCUCCAACCAUGCAACCCAAUCUCCCUAGGUCAGCUAAAUAGCCGUCAACUGCUACGAAAUAAUAAAAUAAAAACGUGUUUGCUUUAUUUUAAAAUGACCAGAAAUAUAACUGAUUAACACAUUUCCGGUUUUCUCUUGCACUCAAUUGCUUUAAAAUCAUGGAAGUUAAUCCUCUGUCAGAGUCAGAGUACUUUGCAUUAAGACUAAAUGUUGAAUUAAGAGCUGUGAGAACUAAGAAUUAAGAACUGUGAAUCUGUAAUCCUGGUGAUCUGCCUUGCAUGACAAAAGUACCCCUAUCAGAAAUAUUUAUUCAACAUGGGUCAUGAAAAACAUGCUGGUGGCAUAUUAUGUUAGUAUAUUAGAUUGUUUUUUUGCCUUAUUUUAGUUAAUCCUUCUCAUUUUGCCUCACUGACUUUCCCAGCCAUUUGUGCCCAAUUUUACAUUGUUUCCAACAAAAGAAGAUAGAUACUAUCGAUCAAUUUAUAAUUUAUAACCUUAAUAUAAGAUUUUAGAUGAUGCUUUAACAUUAAAAUUGGAAAAUGUCAUUUGAUCUAUAAUUACCAUGUUCCCAAGGAAUUCAAAGCCAUGGUCAACAUGUACAAAAGGAUGCAGUGACAUUUGUGAAGCAGGUCAAGUUUGUGCUCAGAUGAGCAAGUAGGCAACAUGCAGGAGUAUCUGUACUCUUGCUUUCAGAUUAUUUUUGCCAAUGAAACAUUAUAUAAAUAUUUUGAGCACAAAAUUCCCAUACGGACAUCUGUGAUAUUGGACUGACUUAAAACCCGGCACGUUGGCUGUUUAUUUAUCA